rnacentral:rRNA from 1 species
AUUGAACGCUGGCGGCAUGCUUUACACAUGCAAGUCGAACGGCAGCACAGGGAGCUUGCUCCUGGGUGGCGAGUGGCGAACGGGUGAGUAAUGUAUCGGAACGUGCCUGGUAGUGGGGGAUAACUACUCGAAAGAGUGGCUAAUACCGCAUGAGAUCUUUGGAUGAAAGCGGGGGACCUUCGGGCCUCGUGCUACUGGAGCGGCCGAUAUCAGAUUAGGUUGUUGGUGGGGUAAAGGCCUACCAAGCCUGCGAUCUGUAGCUGGUCUGAGAGGACGACCAGCGACACUGGGACUGAGACACGGCCCAGACUCCUACGGGAGGCAGCAGUGGGGAAUUUUGGACAAUGGGCGCAAGCCUGAUCCAGCAAUGCCGCGUGCAGGACGAAGGCCUUCGGGUUGUAAACUGCUUUUGUACAGAACGAAAAGUCUCUGGCUAAUAUCUAGAGAUCAUGACGGUACUGUAAGAAUAAGCACCGGCUAACUACGUG